rnacentral:pre_miRNA from 1 species
CCCCUGGGCAGGAUAUCAUCGUAUACUGUAAGUCGGCUAUGAGACACUACAGUAUAGAUGAUGUACUCCCCGGGGCUG